GACGAACGCUGGCGGCGCGCCUAACACAUGCAAGUCGAACGAGCGAGAGAGAGCUUGCUUUCUCAAGCGAGUGGCGAACGGGUGAGUAACGCGUGAGGAACCUGCCUCAUACAGGGGGAUAACAGUUAGAAAUGACUGCUAAUACCGCAUAAGCGCACGAAACCGCAUGGUUUUGUGUGAAAAACUCCGGUGGUGUGAGAUGGACCCGCGUUGGAUUAGCCAGUUGGCAGGGUAACGGCCUACCAAAGCGACGAUCCAUAGCCGGCCUGAGAGGGUGAACGGCCACAUUGGGACUGAGACACGGCCCAG
rnacentral:rRNA from 1 species